rnacentral:RNase_P_RNA from 1 species
AAAGCAGGCCACUCUAUCGCUUUAUGCUGAACUUGUUUUAGCGCCUUCCGAUUGAGAUGGGUCCCGAAUCAAGUUCGGGGUGAAGAGGAAAGUCCGGACACCACAGUGCGGCAUAGCGGGUAACACCCGUCUCCCGGUGUUACAUCGGGACGGACCAGUGCAACAGAAAGAAUGUACAGGUUAUGCUGUAGUGAAACCAGGUAAACUCUAUGCGGUGAAACGUCAUGUAAAUCGGUGUUUGAGGGCUGCACGUCCGAGCCGAAGGGUAGGCGGUAAGAGCUUUUGGGUAACUGAAAGCCUAGAUAAAUGAUAGGGAGACCCUGAAAUUGUUUCAGGGUAUACAGAAUCCGGCUUAUGGCCUGCUUAUUUA